AUUUUCAUAUCUGCUUCUGAAUUCAAUCUUUUGAGAUAUCGCAUGCCACGUAACUACUGGAAAACUCGACACUCGUGAGAGAAUGAGGUUUCUUAAGCCUUCCUGAUUAACUAUUUGUAUGUGUGGACAACAGCGAUCAAGCACCCAGGAGAAGAAAUAUUCUUCUCAAAGUUAAAGAAGUUUUUUCUCUAGUCUUGGUGAACCAUGGCACUACCUCCGACCACCAGCAAUCAUAUCUCCUUGAAGCCUGAAGAGGCUCCCAGCGUGGAACGCAA